UACAGAGGGGGCAAGCGUUGUUCGGAAUUACUGGGCGUAAAGGGCGCGUAGGCGGCCUUCUAAGUCAAACGUGAAAUCCCUCGGCUUAACCGGGGAACUGCGCUUGAUACUGGAUGGCUUGAGAUUGGGAGAGGGAUGCGGAAUUCCAGGUGUAGCGGUGAAAUGCGUAGAUAUCUGGAGGAACACCGGUGGCGAAGGCGGCAUCCUGGACCAACACUGACGCUGAGGAGCGAAAGCCAGGGGAGCAAACGGG
rnacentral:rRNA from 1 species